UAGGCCAGCUACUGCGUCUUCCACUUCGUACGAAAAUUCGUAAUUCACCGGAUCCUGCGAAAGCGAGAGAAAAAAAAAAACACGAAAAAAGUGCAUUGGGUGAGCAUGGAAAUACGUGUGUCAGUGUAAAAAAAGAAAGAAAAUAAUUCCUUCGACGUAAGAAAAGAAACAUGUACUACUUACACCGGCCCAUUCGUCUGGAUGGCCACUGGGAGCUGGUCGCGGUCCAGUCCCUGCAGGUGGAAGAUAGGCAGGUCCUUGAGGUUCGCUCAAAAUUCCUACCGAUAUCAUCGUUAACAGGAGUGCCUGUGCCGGAAGAGAUCUUUUACAUUUUUUUUCAAUUGUUCGAGUAGUAACUGGUAAAAAACAAUCCAUUGAGAAUUAGGCGUUUGAAAACAUUUACAGAAGUGUAAGAAUUAUGUACUCUGUUGCAGCAGGACUAUGAACUUUAUUACUUUUAUUAGUAAUACAGUUAACAAGAAAAGACAA